rnacentral:rRNA from 1 species
CUUCGGGGUCAGCGGCGGACGGGUGAGUAACGCGUGGGAACGUGCCCUUCCCUCUGGAAUAGCCUCGGGAAACUGAGAUUAAUGCCGGAUACGCCCUUCGGGGGAAAGAUUUAUCGGGGAAGGAUCGGCCCGCGUUGGAUUAGGUAGUUGGUGGGGUAAUGGCCUACCAAGCCGACGAUCCAUAGCUGGUUUGAGAGGAUGAUCAGCCACACUGGGACUGAGACACGGCCCAGACUCCUACGGGAGGCAGCAGUGGGGAAUCUUGGACAAUGGGGGCAACCCUGAUCCAGCCAUGCCGCGUGAGCGAUGAAGGCCCUAGGG